UUUAUUGAGAAUUUGAUCUUGGUUCAGAUUGAAUGCUGACGGCGUGGAUGAGGCAUGCAAGUCGAACGGAACGGCAACUUGUUGCCGUUGAGUGGCGAAAGGGUUAGUAAUACAUGAGUAACUUACCUUUUACUCGGGAAUAACGAUCGGAAACGGUCGCUAAUACCGGAUGAGGAGCGAGGAGGGGGACCUUGUCGCUUCAAAGUGGGGGAUCCUGCGAAGGACCUCGCGGUAAGAGAGGGGCUCAUGGGAUAUCAGCUUGUUGGUGUGGUAACGGCGCACCAAGGCUAAGACGUCUAGGCGGGCUGAGAGGUCGACCGCCAACACCGGAACUGAGACACUGUCCGGACUCCUACGGGAGGCUGCAGUCGAGAAUCAUUCGCAAUGGGCGAAAGCCUGACGAUGCGACGCCGUGUGAACGAUGAAGGCCUUAGGGUUGUAAAGUUCUUUCGCUGAGGAACAAGAGAGGACAAUGAAUAAUUGUCUGAUUUGAGGGUACUCGGUAAAGAAGCACCGGCUCACUCCGUGCCAGCAGCUGCGGUAAUACGGAGGGUGCAAGCAUUAAUCGGAUUUACUGGGUGUAAAGGGCGUGUAGGCGGCCGGGCAGGUCGGAUGUGAAAUUUCGGGACUUAAUCUCGAAGCUGCAUUGGAAACCACCCGGCUCGAGGGUAGACGGAGAAAACGGAAUUCCACAUGUAGCGGUGAAAUGCGUAGAUAUGUGGAGGAACACCGGUGGCGAAGGCGGUUUUCUAGUUUAUUCCUGACGCUGAGGCGCGAGAGCAAGGGGAGCAAACGGGAUUAGAUAUCCCGGUAGUCCUUGCCGUAAACGAUGCAUACUUGGUGUAGUCGGACUCAACCCCGACUUUGCCGUAGCUAACGUGUUAAGUAUGCCACCUGGGGAGUACGCUCGCAAGGGUGAAACUCAAAAGAAUUGACGGGGGCCCGCACAAGCAGUGGAGCAUGUGGUUUAAUUCGAUGCAACGCGAAGAACCUUACCCGGGUUUGACAUUCGGAGGACGGUAUCAGAGAUGGUGCUUCCCGUAAGGGGCUCCGGACAGGUGCUGCAUGGCUGUCGUCAGCUCGUGCCGUGAG
rnacentral:rRNA from 1 species